GUGAGAGUCUUUAUUUCAGCAAAAUAUACUAAGCUAGAGGUAUAGAUUUUGGAAUCUUCAACAAUUAAUUGGCCAUUGUGGCCAAGUGAAAACAUUAGGAGUCUAAAGAUAGAGCUGUGGCCAACACUCAUAUUUAAAGAAAGGCUUGAGAAGCCCAGUGAUGCAAGAAGUGUCAAGAAAAUAUCACUAUAAAAAUGUUUGAGAAGCAUGGUACUAGUCAUCAGUGUUAAAUGUGCUUCUGGUGAGGGGUUCAGGAAGUUUCCAAUCAUGACGGAAGGUGAAGAAGAGUAGGCAUCACAUAGCAAGAGGGGAUGCAAGACACAGGGAGAGAGAGAAGAGGGAGGCACCAGGAUGCUUUCAGCAAUCAAUGUCAGGAAAACUGAUAGAGCAAGAAGUCACUCAUUGUCACAAGGACGGCACCAAGCCCUUUCUGAGGAAUCUGCCCCAUGACCCAAACACCUCCCACCAGGCCCUACCACCAACACAGGGGAUCACAGUUCAAUGUGCGAUUUGGAGGCAAAACAUAUACAAACUAUACUAGGAAGACAAACUGAUGUGAGGAUGAGGAGGAGUCAGAAAUAAACUCAUUCAACUAAUACUUGAGUAGCUACUGUUGCCUACAGUAUGUUCAAGGUUUUGCUAGUCAUCCAUAUGAUCACUAUUGACAGCUUGGGAGACUCACACAGGCUAGUGAAUUUCAGGAAUUAACAGAAACUGAACAGCUUCUAUAAUCCUGCAGGAAGUAACCUCUGGAUGGCACA
rnacentral:lncRNA from 1 species